UUGAACGCUGGCGGCAUGCCUUACCCAUGCAAGUCGAACGGUAACAGGUCUUCGGAUGCUGACGAGUGGCGAACGGGUGAGUAAUACAUCGGAACGUGCCCGAUCGUGGGGGAUAACGAGGCGAAAGCUUUGCUAAUACCGCAUACGAUCUACGGAUGAAAGCGGGGGAUCUUCGGACCUCGCGCGGACGGAGCGGCCGAUGGCAGAUUAGGUAGUUGGUGGGAUAAAAGCUUACCAAGCCGACGAUCUGUAGCUGGUCUGAGAGGAUGAUCAGCCACACUGGGACUGAGACACGGCCCAGACUCCUACGGGAGGCAGCAGUGGGGAAUUUUGGACAAUGGGCGAAAGCCUGAUCCAGCCAUGCCGCGUGCAGGAUGAAGGCCUUCGGGUUGUAAACUGCUUUUGUACGGAACGAAAAGCCUCUUUCUAAUAAAGAGGGGUCAUGACGGUACCGUAAGAAUAAGCACCGGCUAACUACGUG
rnacentral:rRNA from 1 species